rnacentral:rRNA from 1 species
CCUAAGGUUGCGAAUCCAAAGAAGCUGAAUGAGUUCAGACCAAUCAGUCUAUGUAACUUAGUUUACAAGGUCAUCUCUAAGUAUCUGGUAAAUCGUUUGAGACCUCUCCUUGAUGUUAUUGUUGCUCCUGAGCAGAGCGCCAUCGUCCCUGGUAGACUUAUUACAGAUAAUGCUUUCAUAGCUUUUGAGUGUAUGCAUACCAUCAAACAGGAAAGGAAUCAGGAGAAUAGUUUCCGUGCUUACAAGUUGGACCUAUCAACGGCAUAUGACAGGGUAGACUGGAAUUUCCUAGAGCGAAUGAUGCAACAUUUGGGUUUUCAUCACCGGUAG